rnacentral:rRNA from 1 species
UACGGAGGGGGCAAGCGUUGUUCGGAAUCACUGGGCGUAAAGGGUGCGUAGGCGGGUCUUUAAGUCAGGGGUGAAAUCCUGGAGCUCAACUCCAGAACUGCCUUUGAUACUGAGGAUCUUGAGUUCGGGAGAGGUGAGUGGAACUGCGAGUGUAGAGGUGAAAUUCGUAGAUAUUCGCAAGAACACCAGUGGCGAAGGCGGCUCACUGGCCCGAUACUGACGCUGAGGCACGAAAGCGUGGGGAGCAAACAGG